AAUUUGUUUUUUUUUUUAAAAAAAAACACUAAAAACUUGAGCACCACCUCGCUCAGCAGAAAAACAAAUCCCUAAUUUCACGGAAAAUGUAGACGUGACAAAUCUUCUCCGACGCCGGGAAAAAAUAUCCGAUGGGAAAUAACCGGCCAAAUCAUCCACACCAAACCCGAACCUAAACCAAACGGAGCCCUAACUCCACUCACAGCCCCAAAAUUGACCUCCCUUCCAUGGCCGAUCUCUUACGCCAAGGUUCUUCAAUAUGGGAUGUCCGCUUUACGGAAAUACACCGAUUUCCGCACAGGAUCAGGGAAAUCAGUUGCGUUAAAGCAAUCUUCGAUUGCGAAAGCGUUAGCUGUCCUCGGCGGUGGCGAAGACGACGACGACGGUGAAGCAUGUGGGGGAGAUAACGAAUUUGGUUUUCUGUAGCUUUUGGAGAAAGGGAAUGAAGAUGAUGGAAAUGCACCGAUUUUCCAUACAGGAUCAGGUAAAUCGGUUCUAUUGAGACAAUCUUUGAUUGCAAAAGCGAUUUCUGUUCAGCAAUUUGCGUGGAAACCAUCCAUUGUUGAGCAAUUUGUGUGGCAGGAUUUAUCACAUUCAGGGAUGAUAGCCGGUGUGAGAAAUAAUGGGGUUAUUGGUGAUGAUCUGCUAGUUCCCAGGUCUCUUUUAGUUUCCAAGUCUGGUAUAUUAAAAAGCCAAUUGGUAAAGGAGGUCGAUACAGACUUGUUGCAACCUGAAGCACAAUAUUCUGCUCCCAAACCACCACCAUUUAAAUUCCACACUACUGGUGCUGGUGGAAGAUCCUUUUCCGUGCAAGGAGUCUUCUUGGUGACCCAGACAUAGGAGCUUUCUUAAAUGAGGGGGAUGCAUUUGAUAUGGGUCUCUCAGUUUUUGAAGAUAUUAUAUUUGAUGAGGCUUCAUCAAACAAGGAAAAUUCUUUUUACUCUGCAUUUACCCAUCCAGAAGCUUCAAAGAGUAAACAUAUCUCAAAAACUUUCAUUUCACCUCUUAAAUUAUCUGCGAACCAUGUCUAGCCAUCCAUUAAUAAAAAAAAAAAAGUCAUUUCAGGGGUAACUUGUUGGAGAAAUUUGAUGCUGUUCACAAUGACAGCACCUGCGAGUUUAAUAACAAAGCAACUUGUAUACAGAAUUGCUUAAGGAAUGGACUGUGUUCAUUAGAUACAACAGUUGCUAUUCUCUGGAUAGUGGUACUGGUUCAAGGAUGAAUCCACUUCAAAGGCUACUGCGUGUGCCAUUGGUUGAUAUUUCAAAUAAAAAUGGCACAGCGUACUCAAAUAACUGCCAAGUGAUCUUCUCGAGGGACAGGCCCAUGCUAUAGCAGGACUGUUACUUGUGAACUCUGAUUCGAAUACACUUUGCUUACAAGCAAGAGGAUCUACAACCAAAUGGCAACUUUUGUCCUGGCAAUGCAACAGUUUCAGUAAGCCUCUAUUUGCUUUUCUCCUAUCUUAACAAUUGAAUCUAACUAAAGGCUGUCCUUUUAAGCCAUUUUUCAGCCCUCGAGUAUCAGUAUUAUUGUCAAAUUUGGGUGAAGUUCCUCUUUGUUGGUAAAUUACACAUAUCUAUCUUUUAUGGAUCCCACCUCUGCUUUCUUGGUAAACAAAUAAACCCAGUCCACUUGCAGCCAUGCUGAUCAAAAUGACAAAUUUCAUGACUCGACCAGUUUGGUUCCCCAUUGUUUUUUGAUUAUCGCUGCACUUGUGUUGCCCGUGGGAGAGGUUUAUACAGCUCCUCUGCAAAAGAAACAGUGUGUGUCUGUGAUUGAUACUGCCAUUUCUACAUUGGAUUCAGAGGUAAUGUCAAAGUCCUGACUUGCCAUCAGCUUCUGCUCACCAUACAUAGAUAACGAUUCAUUUACACCAACCAACUAUAAUCUUGCUGGAUCCUUGAGUGUAUUAGGUACUUUUAUUGUCAGCCCUAGAAUGCAUUAGUUUAUAAUCUAAUACGAGUUGAUUCAUGGUGAAAAUUUCCAAAUGGAAAUUAGAAGGAUGGAUAAGUUUGUGAAUGCAAGUCGUUAUCUUUGCAGGUUGUCUUCUUUGAUCUUAUAAAGAGAGCAAAGGAUCAACUAAAUCAUCCCUGGAUAGCUGAAGCAACAGAAAACUCGACUUAUUCUUUGAGUUUUGAUUUCACAAUUUUUUUUACACCUUAAAAAUGCUGCUUCCUCUACUCAAAGCUGGCCUAGAUCUCUACCUUGGUGAACAAUAUAGAAUUUGAUCAUGAUAGUUCAGCUUUGGUAUAUGAUGCCUGCUAUUAUUUACCACCUUACUUGUUUUAUGCUGAUUAUUGAUAAGUUCAAGAAGAAGGUUUUAUUUAUAAUUGGUGAUUGAAAAGGCUAGAAGUUGGAAGAGGCCACUUUGAACUGACAAGUAAGCCUCCUUGUAUGUCAAAUGAUCCUUAUUUGUGUCAAUUGACUUUUAUUAGGGAGAGUUAAUCUCUUAGUUGUAGAAGUAAGAUCUUAAAAUCCACUCAUGACAGUGGUUUUGUUUCUUAAUAUUGGAAAACAAAUUGCUGAUGGAUUUAGCUCAGUAUUCACUCAUCUUCUUUGUGAAUAAUUCUGCUAGCUUUUCCAUUGAUUUAUUCUUAUUGUUUUAUUACUUAUUUGAGCUAUUUUAUCAAAUAGUUUAGGCCUUAUGGAUUUAUCCUUACUGACAAUAGGAAGAGUACAGAUGCAGAAAAGGAUAGGAUACUUAUUGUAAGCAGCCAGCGAGCUCAUCCAGUUAAACCGUUGAAUCCUUGAAAUACCACUGGUUUGUGGUUGAUUUGUGAUUUGUCAGCCUCUCCACCUGAAUUCCAUGUUUAUGAAUUUAUUACAUUCUCCUUAUAGAUUUGUGCUACAUUGCCAAUGUUUGAGCAGCUGAAGUUCCAGGAGAAAUCUGUAGAUAUCAAUCAUGCAACGAAGUCAUGAAGGCUCCCUCAGUUCCAGACCAUCCCAUCGCUUAAUUUUCAAUGUUGGGCACAGUGGGGAAGGGCAUGGGUCAAGCAUCUCGGAAUUGGUUUAGCUUUCAACGGAGGGAGAUGGUCCCUCCACGCUGUAACAUUUUUGGUUUAGUGUACAAUCAUUAAAUUCAACUGAAACAUCUAUGUAAAUAAUUAAGAACAAGUGAGUUUUGAUUGAAAACCUAUGUAAUGUCAAAACUCAAUUUAGCAUGCUGUGUUAUAAAAUUAGAGUUUGUAAACACGUUCUUAAGACAGUACAAGAAUCAUGUCUUUAUAAAGUUCAAAUCAAAUUUGUUGUGCCCC